ensembl:lncRNA
CUGCUGGGAGGCCUGAGGGGGGAAGCGGCACCAACAUCUUUACAGACCAUCUACCCCACUCGGUACAGGGUCAUGACCACAUAGUCAAACAACCAAGGGUCAGAGGGGAGAGAGCAGAUGCGGACCAUGGGCUCCUGGGGCCAACGGGCUCCUGGGGCCCACGCCUCCUUUCAAGACCUUUCGCGAAGAGUGGCUUUCAGUGAAACAGAUCUCCGAGGGCAGAUUUUCCUCGUGUUGAAAGGGAACCUCUGGUCAAAAGUCAGCAGCCGCGCUGCAGAAAGCUUUGAUAGUCAGUGAAGUGGAUCACGGCAUGCGCGGAUGGAGCCUCUCGCUGCGCGGGCGGACCUCCCUCCAAGAGCGACCCCUGGUCAUCAGUCAUCGGGGCCCCCAUCGCCUUCUGCGCAGCCGAUGGUUUCACCAGAUCCACGGGGCCUGGGUCCCAAGCUGCCCUUUUCCACAGGUAUUGCUAAAGCAAAUAGCAGACGGUAUUUACUGGGUGUGAUGCUUUCAAUCACAUUAAUCUAGCCAGUAAAAAAAUUUAUGACCAAUAAAAAUUCCACCAUGACAUGGCUGAUUGGAGGAGAGUUGCGGUGAUGGAGAUUCAAGCCACGCCUCUGCCUCUGGCUAGACCGUCACAGCCGUGGAAGGAAGUAGGCGUCGGAGACCAGAAAGACAGAAGUCUCUGGGCCUGUUAAAACCAACUCCAGGGUGGAUGGAUAAAACUCUUAAAUCGUUUAAUAAGUCCGAAUUCUUGGAGUUUGGAGGGCAACUGACUGAACACCUACCUUGAAAAGCUACCUGGGGAAGAGUUAUGGACGUGGUCCUGCCUGCACUAAAAAAUGACUCUGGGUUCCUUCGAGUCCCUUGAUUACAUGACAACUUGCCCAUUAUAAAAUAAAUAUUUUAAAAUGCAACACUUAGAAACAAGCUCGAAGGAUGCCUGGGUGGGGAGUCUCUCUCUGGUUUGGAGCCAAUGGGGAAGGCAGCUCCACAUAGCUGUCUUUCGCCUGCUUGAUCCCGACAUGGUGUUUGCAGAUUCAGAAGGGUAAUGACUAAUCUCUGCUAACGUCUGUGAGUCAUUCCUUCUCCCAGCCCACGGUGACAGUCCUCAGACGGCAUGAUUUCAAAUACACACAAUCCAAAUCCUACUGUUCCAUGGCUUCUCCCUGGAGUGGGCAACUGAUCCAAUUCUUUGUUAAUGAUCCCAGACCACACAUGGCAAGGAGGAUGUUAUUUUAAUGAACGUAUAUUGAAAGUCCUGCCGCUGGGAGCAAGUACCUGAUUAGCUAAUUGUGGUGAGGCUAAUGCUUCAAGUGGCUUAUCCAAUAGCCAUUAUCCCAUUCUUUCUGAGUAAUAGAACCCCAAAUGUAAUCUGUGUGGCAAGGUGCCCAGCCAGAAGACUGUAUUUGCAAAGUCCCUUGUUGCUAAGGGUAGCCAGUAAGACGUAAUUUGGAAUUUGUGUUUGAGGCUUUUGAGAAAGCCCUGGAAGUGGAGGGAUGGGCAGUAGGCAGCUGCCCUUUCACCCUUCUCAAGCUUCCUUCUCUUUCUGGUCUAGAGUAAAGGGCCAGGGGCUAGGACUCCAGUAGUCACCUUGGCGUGUGAGGUGAAAAGAAGUAUGGAAGCCUCGUGCUUUAAGAAACAGAGGUGAAUGGAGCAGGGGAUGAAAGG